rnacentral:rRNA from 1 species
UGCCAGACUCCUACGGGAGGCAGCAGUGGGGAAUAUUGCACAAUGGGGGGAACCCUGAUGCAGCGACGCCGCGUGGGUGAAGAAGUCCUUCGUGACGUAAAGCCCUAUCGGCAGGGAAGAAGGAGGACGGUACCUGACUAAGAAGCCCCGGCUAACUACGUGCCAGCAGCCGCGGUAAUACGUAGGGGGCAAGCGUUAUCCGGAUUUACUGGGUGUAAAGGGGGCGCAGACGGCAGCGCAAGCCAGGAGUGAAAGCCCGGGGCCCAACCCCGGGACUGCUCUUGGAACUGCGCGGCUGGAGUGCAGGAGGGGCAGGCGGAAUUCCUGGUGUGGCGGUGAAAUGCGUAGAUAUCAGGAGGAACACCGGUGGCGAAGGCGGCCUGCUGGACUGCGACUGACGUUGAGGCCCGAAAGCGUGGGGAGCAAACAGGAUUAGAUACCCGCGUAAUC